ACAUGCCUACAACAUAGCGUUAAUGCAUCGGAUCCCAUUAGAACUUUGCAGUUAACGCUCAGGCUAGAGUAGUACUGGGAUGGGUGAUUUCCCGAGAAUUCCUAGUGUUUUACAUGCC
rnacentral:rRNA from 1 species